UACAGAGGUCUCAAGCGUUGUUCGGAUUCAUUGGGCGUAAGGAGCGUGUAGGCGGCCAGGUAGGUCUGCUGUGAAAACUCGAGGCUCAACCUCGAGACGUCGGCGGAAACCAUCUGGCUAGAGUCCGGAAGAGGAGAGUGGAAUUCCUGGUGUAGCGGUGAAAUGCGCAGAUAUCAGGAGGAACACCGAUGGCGAAGGCAGGUCUCUGGGCCACUACUGACGCUGAGAAGCGAAAGCGUGGGGAGCGAACAGG
rnacentral:rRNA from 1 species